rnacentral:rRNA from 1 species
GAUGAACGCUGGCGGCGUGCCUAAUACAUGCAAGUCGAGCGAACAGACGAGGAGCUUGCUCCUCUGACGUUAGCGGCGGACGGGUGAGUAACACGUGGAUAACCUACCUAUAAGACUGGGAUAACUUCGGGAAACCGGAGCUAAUACCGGAUAAUAUAUUGAACCGCAUGGUUCAAUAGUGAAAGACGGUUUUGCUGUCACUUAUAGAUGGAUCCGCGCCGCAUUAGCUAGUUGGUAAGGUAACGGCUUACCAAGGCAACGAUGCGUAGCCGACCUGAGAGGGUGAUCGGCCACAGUGGAACUGAGACACGGUCCAGACUCCUACGGGAGGCAGCAGUAGGGAAUCUUCCGCAAUGGGCGAAAGCCUGACGGAGCAACGCCGCGUGAGUGAUGAAGGUCUUCGGAUCGUAAAACUCUGUUAUUAGGGAAGAACAAAUGUGUAAGUAACUAUGCACGUCUUGACGGUACCUAAUCAGAAAGCCACGGCUAACUACGU